UACGUAGGGUGCAGGCGUUAAUCGGAAUUACUGGGCGUAAAGCGUGCGCAGGCGGUCUGCUAAGACAGGUGUGAAAUCCCCGGGCUUAACCUGGGAACUGCGCUUGUUACUGGCAGGCUGGAGUGUGGCAGGGGGGGGUGGAAUUCCACGUGUAGCGGUGAAAUGCGUAGAUAUGCGGAGGAACACCGAUGGCGAAGGCAAUCCCCUGGGCCUGCACUGACGCUCAUGCACGAAAGCGUGGGGAGCAAACAGG
rnacentral:rRNA from 1 species